GGUAGCUGGUCUUAGAGGACGACCAGCCACACUGGAACUGAGACACGGUCCAGACACCUACGGGUGGCAGCAGUCGAGAAUCUUUCACAAUGGGGGCAACCCUGAUGGAGCGACGCCGCGUGGAGGAUAAGGUCUUCGGAUUGUAAACUCCUGUCAUGUGUGAACAAGGUUGUCUUGUUAAUAGCGAGGCAAAUUGAUGGUAACACAAGAGGAAGAGACGGCUAACUCUGUGCCAGCAGCCGCGGUAAUACAGAGGUCUCAAGCGUUGUUCGGAAUCACUGGGCGUAAAGGGUGCGUAGGUGGCGUGGAAAGUCAGAUGUGAAAGCCCGGGGCUCAACCUCGGAAUAGCAUCCGAUACUACCAUGCUAGAGUACUGAAGAGGUGACUAGAAUUCUCGGUGUAGCAGUGAAAUGCGUAGAUAUCGAGAGGAAUACCAACGGCGAAGGCAGGUCACUGGGCAGUUACUGACACUGAGGCACGAAGGCCAGGGGAGC
rnacentral:rRNA from 1 species